GCCGGGGUGGCUCAGCUGGUUAGAGCGCACGGCUCAUAACCGUGAGGCCGAGGGUUCGAAUCCCUCUCCCGGCA
rnacentral:tRNA from 1 species